rnacentral:rRNA from 1 species
GAUGAACGCUAGCUACAGGCUUAACACAUGUAAGUCGAGGGGUAACGAGAGGAAAGCUUGCUUUCCUUGUCGACGACCGGCGCACGGGUGAGUAACGCGUAUCCAACCUGCCCCCAACUAGGGAAUAACCUUGCGAAAGUAAGACUAAUACCCUAUAAUUUCCUCAGAUGCCAUCUGUCGAUGAAUAAAGAUUUAUCGGUUGUGGUUGGGGAUGCGUCUGAUUAGCUUGUUGGCGGGGUAACGGCCCACCAAGGCAACGAUCAGUAGGGGUUCUGAGAGGAAGGUCCCCCACAUUGGAACUGAGACACGGUCCAAACUCCUACGGGAGGCAGCAGUGAGGAAUAUUGGUCAAUGGGCGGAAGCCUGAACCAGCCAAGUAGCGUGCAGGAUGACGGCCCUAUGGGUUGUAAACUGCUUUUAUACAGGAAUAAAGUUAGCCACGUGUGGUUAUUUGUAGGUACUGUAUGAAUAAGGACCGGCUAAUUCCGUGCCAGCCGCCGCCGUAA